UUAAGUUCAGCGGGUAUCCCUACUUGAUCCGAGGCCAAACUAAGAUGGGGGGUUAAGGGCUUGGAGUGGCCAUUGCUGGACUUAGUACCAAAUGCGCCGGCAAAGUUCAGUAGCGAGGAGAAAUUACUACGCGUAGAACCUACCGGAACCGCCCGUGGACUUAAAGGCUGCAGCUGACGCCGCAACCCCAAAAUCAGGCC
rnacentral:misc_RNA from 1 species